UGAGAGUCAGCCUUCAGAGACUUCAAAAUCGGGUCCGCCCUUCAAAUCGUUUAGUAUAAGGAAGGGAAGUAACGGAACUCAGUAGUUAUGAUUCUGAAAAUAAUCGACAUUUUUACAGCUGAAGUACAACUGAAACAGCAAUUGCCCAGUCAACCAUUAUAUGUUUCUUUCCAAUAACCAGCAAACUUCUAAGGAUACUGGACUGAUCUGAUCAGGACUCAUUUCAGUCAGAGCCUGGAAGUUACAACAGAGAAGAAAAGAAGAGUAAUAUGCAACCUCCCAAAAACAAUGCCAAAAUGAUCACCAGAGCUACAGAGAUAGCUCUCAUUCUCUUAGUGGAAGACACCUGGACAAAGACCAACAUAAUGGGGGAACAAUGGCUCAUA